GUUUAAUGGCAGAAUAUUUUUGCUCAGUUUUACAGGAAUAAAGAGAGGACAUAUUCAAUGAGUCAUUACUGCAUUUCAAAUGCUUCUUGCUCCACUCAUAUAUUGCUUCCUGCUUCUAGUAUAAACAUAAAAUAGCAGAAGCUCUUGUGACUGUAGCCAUCAUUUCUCUUGAUAGUUUUCACCAUAGAGCCGGUCUUGUCUGGAGUUCUUGUGGAGGUUAUCAGGAACAUGAAAUAAAGCAUCCCAGCAUGGGCUUUCCCAAAGGCAUUAGAAAUGGAUAUCCUGAGUGUUUUCUGUGGAAACAGUGGGAUGCUGGUGCGAUUGCUAUCUGACAUAUUCCUGUAUGAGCAAAAAGGGAUGAAUAGCAAAGUUAACUGACGUUGGAGAGUUAAGAGCAUGGAAACUGAGGAGUCUGUACUGUUCUAUGAUCUCAUAGUGCCAAGUGGGCAGCAGAUCAAAUCCAGUUGAUCAUAAAAUGCCAUACACACA
rnacentral:lncRNA from 1 species